GGUAUUAAAAGGUAGUGAUACGUGAGGGAUGUGAACUGGAGAUUGGUUUGGUGGAUUAAUGAGUAAUUGAUUAGAAGGAGUAACAUAGGUAGUGUAGGUGGGUGGUUGACUUUGUGGAGGUGUAUAGAUGAGUAGUGGAUUUGGUGGAUUGGCGGGAGUGGUUGGAGGCAGAUUAUUGUUCAUAGGUGGAGGAUGUUGAGGAGAAAAGUGUUCUGGGACUGGUGAAUCAAGUGAUGGAAAGCGUGGUGGAUUUGGUGCGGCAUUUCUAGGUUCAGGGGGUGGACUUUGGAGUGUAAUGGACAAAUUGGUCA
rnacentral:lncRNA from 1 species